AAGAAGUCAGGCCGGAUUAAGCCAUAGUACGGUAAGAGCUAUGCUGCCUGUGAGCCCCGUCUAAGGACGUAAAAUGAAGUCAGGCCGAAAGCCACGGCUUGAGCAAACCGUGCUGCCUGUAGCUCCAUCGUGGGGAUGUAAAAACCUGGGAGGCUGCAACCCAUGGAAGCUGUACGCAUGGGGUAGCAGACUAGUGGUUAGAGGAGACCCCUCCCGAAACAUAACGCAGCAGCGGGGCCCAACACCAG
rnacentral:lncRNA from 1 species